rnacentral:rRNA from 1 species
UUCGUCCAAUUGAAGCAGAGGACAGUGGCGGACGGGUGAGUAACGCGUGAGGAACCUGCCUUUCAGAGGGGGACAACAGUUGGAAACGACUGCUAAUACCGCAUGACACAUAGGUGUCGCAUGGCACUUAUGUCAAAGAUUUAUCGCUGAAAGAUGGCCUCGCGUCCCAUUAGCUAGUAGGCGGGGUAACGGCCCACCUAGGCGACGAUCAGUAGCCGGACUGAGAGGUUGAACGGCCACAUUGGGACUGAGAUACGGCCCAGACUCC